GACAUUGGGUUUUGGUUGAUUUUGGAGCUUGUUUUUCUGUUUAUUGUUUCAAUCCUUAUUUAUAGGAACUCGAUCUGUUGUUCUCCUCUACUUAUAUGGCUUGCUAUUUUUCUGUGUUGCAUAGUUUUUUCCAUUUCAAAUUUCGCCAGAACAAGAGUUAGGAACGCUGAUCUGUUUGUAUAUUUAUUUGAGGUUCUGUCUUUAAUUGUUAGAAUUUUGAGCAAAUUGACAUUAAAAAAGAAAGCAUGAAAAAUUGUACUUUGGCUUUGGAAAGCUUAUGGAGGGGCACACAUGGAUCCUCAAGAUAUCUAGGAAUUCUUGCAUCUUGGUUGCUUGUAGUUGGCUUUCCAAUUUCAGGUGCUGGUUCUCUUUGUGUUGAAGGGCUUCGCUGCUCUAUUCUUCAAGCAUCUAUGAUUUCUUUUUAAUUGGGUUCAAUUCCUCACUGCUAUCUCCAUUAAGCUUUCCCGUCAAUUUGGUGGGGCUUAUGGUUUUGGCUCAUCAAAAAAGAUGUUGCAUAGUCUGAACAACAACUGAAUGUUAUGAAACAUCGGCACCCAUAUACAUAGUUUGGAUAGCUUUGCUUUUCUCCUACAGUCCUUAUGAAAAUAAGACAGGAGGUGCAGAUGAUUGUUGCUCUGCUUGAUUUUUUUCUGUUUUUUCUCUUCUUGUAAUGAGUUGGGAUACCUUGAGUUGGGAUACCUCUUGUUCCCAUUAUUAUGGAUGCACAAGGUUUUGAGGUAGACCAGCAAGGUGUAAAUGUUGAUGCUAAUCAAGCCACUGAAAUGACUCAUGUUUGAGAAACUAUUGCAUAUCAGAUGUGGGAAUAUUACCAUAGAUCUUAAGAAUAAUUGUAUAAUUUAUAUUUUAAGAUCAAUGAUACUUAUUAUAUUU
rnacentral:lncRNA from 1 species